GAUGAACGCUAGCUACAGGCUUAACACAUGCAAGUCGAGGGGCAUCAGGAAGAAAGCUUGCUUUCUUUGCUGGCGACCGGCGCACGGGUGAGUAACACGUAUCCAACCUGCCCUUUACUCGGGGAUAGCCUUUCGAAAGAAAGAUUAAUACCCGAUAGUAUAAUGAUUCCGCAUGGUUUCAUUAUUAAAGGAUUCCGGUAAAGGAUGGGGAUGCGUUCCAUUAGGUUGUUGGUGAGGUAACGGCCCACCAAGCCUUCGAUGGAUAGGGGUUCUGAGAGGAAGGUCCCCCACAUUGGAACUGAGACACGGUCCAAACUCCUACGGGAGGCAGCAGUGAGGAAUAUUGGUCAAUGGACGAGAGUCUGAACCAGCCAAGUAGCGUGAAGGAUGAAGGUCUUACGGAUUGUAAACUUCUUUUAAUAAGGGGAAUUAAAACCCUCCACGUGUGGGA
rnacentral:rRNA from 1 species